rnacentral:rRNA from 1 species
UUGACGAGUCGUCUUUUAGAUGACGAAGUGGUUGAUGCCAUGCUUCCAAGAAAAGCUUCUAAGCUUCAGGUAACCAGGAACCGUACCCCAAACCGACACAGGUGGUCGGGUAGAGAAUACCAAGGCGCUUGAGAGAACUCGGGUGAAGGAACUAGGCAAAAUGGCACCGUAACUUCGGGAGAAGGUGCGCCGGCUAGGGUGAAGGAUUUACUCCGUAAGCUCUGGCUGGUCGAAGAUACCAGGCCGCUGCGACUGUUUAUUAAAAACACAGCACUCUGCAAACACGAAAGUGGACGUAUAGGGUGUGACGCCUCCCCGGUGCCGGAAGGUUAAUUGAUGGGGUUAGCGCAAGCGAAGCUCUUGAUCGAAGCCCCGGUAAACGGCGGCCGUAACGAUAACGGUCCUAAGGUAGCGAAAUUCCUUGUCGGGUAAGUUCCGACCUGCACGAAUGGCGUAACGAUGGCGGCGCUGUCUCCACCCGAGACUCAGUGAAAUUGAAAUCGCUGUGAAGAUGCAGUGUAUCCGCGGCUAGACGGAAAGACCCCGUGAACCUUUACUGUAGCUUUGCACUGGACUUUGAGCCUGCUUGUGUAGGAUAGGUGGGAGGCUUUGAAGCGUGGACGCCAGUUCGCGUGGAGCCAUCCUUGAAAUACCACCCUGGCAUGCUUGAGGUUCUAACUCUGGUCCGUAAUCCGGAUCGAGGACAGUGUAUGGUGGGCAGUUUGACUGGGGCGGUCUCCUCCUAAAGAGUAACGGAGGAGUACGAAGGUGCGCUCAGACCGGUCGGAAAUCGGUCGCAGAGUAUAAAGGCAAAAGCGCGCUUGACUGCGAGACAGACACGUCGAGCAGGUACGAAAGUAGGUCUUAGUGAUCCGGUGGUUCUGUAUGGAAGGGCCAUCGCUCAACGGAUAAAAGGUACUCCGGGGAUAACAGGCUGAUACCGCCCAAGAGUUCAUAUCGACGGCGGUGUUUGGCACCUCGAUGUCGGCUCAUCACAUCCUGGGGCUGAAGCCGGUCCCAAGGGUAUGGCUGUUCGCCAUUUAAAGUGGUACGCGAGUUGGGUUUAGAACGUCGUGAGACAGUUCGGUCCCUAUCUGCCGUGGACGUUUGAGAUUUGAGAGGGGCUGCUCCUAGUACGAGAGGACCGGAGUGGACGAACCUCUGGUGUUCCGGUUGUCACGCCAGUGGCAUUGCCGGGUAGCUAUGUUCGGAAAAGAUAACCGCUGAAAGCAUCUAAGCGGGAAACUUGCCUCAAGAUGAGAUCUCACUGGGAACUUGAUUCCCCUGAAGGGCCGUCGAAGACUACGACGUUGAUAGGCUGGGUGUGUAAGCGUUGUGAGGCGUUGAGCUAACCAGUACUAAUUGCCCGUGAGGCUUGACC